rnacentral:rRNA from 1 species
UACGAAGGGGGCUAGCGUUGCUCGGAAUCACUGGGCGUAAAGGGUGCGUAGGCGGGUUUUUAAGUCAGGGGUGAAAUCCGAGCUCAACUCCAGAACUGCCUUUGAUACUGAAGAUCUUGAGUCCGGGAGAGGUGAGUGGAACUGCGAGUGUAGAGGUGAAAUUCGUAGAUAUUCGCAAGAACACCAGUGGCGAAGGCGGCUCACUGGCCCGGUACUGACGCUGAGGCACGAAAGCGUGGGGAGCAAACAGGG